rnacentral:rRNA from 1 species
AUUGAACGCUGGCGGCAGGCCUAACACAUGCAAGUCGAAUGGUAACAGGAAACAGCUUGCUGUUUCGCUGACGAGUGGCGGACGGGUGAGUAAUGUCUGGGAAACUGCCUGAUGGAGGGGGAGAACUACUGGAAACGGUAGCUAAUACCGCAUAACGUCGCAAGACCAAAGAGGGGGACCUUCGGGCCUCUUGCCAUCAGAUGUGCCCAGAUGGGAUUAGCUAGUAGGUGGGGUAACGGCUCACCUAGGCGACGAUCCCUAGCUGGUCUGAGAGGAUGACCAGCCACACUGGAACUGAGACACGGUCCAGACUCCUACGGGAGGCAGCAGUGGGGAAUAUUGCACAAUGGGCGCAAGCCUGAUGCAGCCAUGCCGCGUGUAUGAAGAAGGCCUUCGGGUUGUAAAGUACUUUCAGCGGGGAGGAAGGGAGUAAAGUUAAUACCUUUGCUCAUUGACGUUACCCGCAGAAGAAGCACCGGCUAACUCCGUG